rnacentral:rRNA from 1 species
UACAGAGGUCUCAAGCGUUGUUCGGAUUCAUUGGGCGUAAAGGGUGCGUAGGUGGCGCCGUAAGUCGGAUGUGAAAUUUCGGAGCUUAACUCCGAAACUGCAUUCGAUACUGCGGUGCUUGAGGACUGGAGAGGAGACUGGAAUUCAUGGUGUAGCAGUGAAAUGCGUAGAGAUCAUGAGGAAGACCAGUGGCGAAGGCGGGUCUCUGGACAGUUCCUGACGCUGAGGCACGAAGGCGAGGGGAGCAAACGGG